rnacentral:rRNA from 1 species
GAGUUUGAUCCUGGCUCAGGACGAACGCUGGCGGCACGCCUAACACAUGCAAGUCGAACGGAGAUAUUUUGGUUUACUGAGAUAUCUUAGUGGCGGACGGGUGAGUAACACGUGAGCAACCUGCCUCUGAGAGAGGGAUAGCUUCUGGAAACGGAUGGUAAUACCUCAUAACAUAACGAAGCCGCAUGACUUUGUUAUCAAAGAUUUAUCACUCAGAGAUGGGCUCGCGUCUGAUUAGAUAGUUGGUGAGGUAACGGCCCACCAAGUCGACGAUCAGUAGCCGGACUGAGAGGUUGAACGGCCACAUUGGGACUGAGACACGGCCCAGACUCCUACGGGAGGCAGCAGUGGGGAAUAUUGCACAAUGGGGGAAACCCUGAUGCAGCGAUGCCGCGUGGAGGAAGAAGGUUUUCGGAUUGUAAACUCCUGUCUUAAAGGACGAUAAUGACGGUACUUUAGGAGGAAGCUCCGGCUAACUACGUGCCAGCAGCCGCGGUAAUACGUAGGGAGCGAGCGUUGUCCGGAAUUACUGGGUGUAAAGGGAGCGUAAGCGGKAUGGCAAGUCAGAUGUGAAAAACU